rnacentral:rRNA from 1 species
UCCGUAGGUGAACCUGCGGAAGGAUCAUUACCGAGUGAGGGUCCCUCGGGGCCCAACCUCCCAUCCGUGUUGUCCUGACACCUGUUGCUUCGGCGGGCCCGCCGUGGUUCACGCCCCGGCCGCCGGGGGGUUCACGUCCCCGGGCCCGCGCCCGCCGAAGACCCCUGGAACGCUGCCUGGAAGGUUGCCGUCUGAGUAUACAAUCAAUCAAUUAAAACUUUCAACAACGGAUCUCUUGGUUCCGGCAUCGAUGAAGAACGCAGCGAAAUGCGAUAAGUAAUGUGAAUUGCAGAAUUCCGUGAAUCAUCGAAUCUUUGAACGCACAUUGCGCCCCCUGGCAUUCCGGGGGGCAUGCCUGUCCGAGCGUCAUUGCUAACCCUCCAGCCCGGCUGGUGUGUUGGGCCGCCGUCCCCCCUCCCCGGGGGACGGGCCCGAAAGGCAGCGGCGGCGUCGCGUCCGGUCCUCGAGCGUAUGGGGCUCUGUCACACGCUUCAGUAGAACCGGCCGGCUUGCUGGCCAUCACCUAUAUUUUUCUCUUAGGUUGACCUCGGAUCAGGUAGGGAUACCCGCUGAACUUAAGCAUAUCAAUAAGCGGAGGA